UCGAGAAUCUUCCGCAAUGGGCGAAAGCCUGACGGAGCGACACCGCGUGCAGGACGAAGGCCCUCGGGUUGUAAACUGCUGUCACGCUCUAGGAAUGCCAUGUCGUUAAUAGCGGCAUGGUUGACCAAGGCGAAAGGAAGUGGCGGCUAACUCUGUGCCAGCAGCCGCGGUAAGACAGAGGCCACGAACGUUGUUCGGAAUCACUGGGCAUAAAGCGCACGUAGGCGGCUAGGUCCGUCCAAUGUGAAAGCCCCCGGCUCAACCGGGGAAUUGCAUCGGAUACAGCCUGGCUUGAGGACGGUUGGGGUGAGUGGAACUCCUGGUGGAGCGGUGAAAUGCGUAGAUAUCAGGAGGAACACCGGUGGCGAAAGCGGCUCACUGGACCGUAACUGACGCUGAGGUGCGAAAGCUAGGGGAGCAAACGGGAUUAGAUACCCACGUAGUCCCUGAGCGGGCUGGCAAGGCGCAU
rnacentral:rRNA from 1 species